rnacentral:rRNA from 1 species
CAUAUCAAUAAGCGGAGGAAAAGAAACUAACAAGGAUUCCCCUAGUAACGGCGAGCGAAGCGGGAAGAGCUCAAAUUUGAAAGCUGGCGUCUUCGGCGUCCGCGUUGUAAUCUCGAGACGUGUUUUCCGUGCGGCUCUAUGGACAAGUCCCUUGGAACAGGGCAUCGUAGAGGGUGAAAAUCCCGUACUUGCCAUGGAAGUACCGUGCUUUGUGAUACACGCUCCAAGAGUCGAGUAGUUUGGGAUUGCUGCUCAAAGUGGGUGGUAGACUCCAUCUAAAGCUAAAUAUCGGGGAGAGACCGAUAGCGAACAAGUACCGUGAGGGAAAGAUGAAAAGCACUUUGGAAAGAGAGUUAAAAGUACGUGAAAUUGUCGAAAGGGAAGCACUUGAAGUCAGCCAUGCUGCUUGAGACUCAGCCUGGCUUUUGCUUGGUGUAUUUCUCGGUAGCAAGCCAGCAUUGGUUUGUGUCGUCGGAGAAGCGCAUGGGGAAUGUGGCAUCCUCGGAUGUGUUAUAGCCCUGUGCAGGAUACGACGACGUAGACCAAGGAACGCAGUGUGCCCUCUGGGCGGGUCUUCGGACACCUUCACACUUAGGAUGCUGGCGUAAUGGCUUUAAGUGGCCCGUCUUGAAACACGGACC